GUGGGUUACCAAAAAGAAAGAAGAGAAAUUGAAGAUAUAUAGUGUAAGAAUAUAAACUUGAGACUAGGUGAUCUGGCAUUGGCUAUCUGAAACCAAUUGGUAUAAGAAAGCCUUAUGGGAAGAUGUAUACUAGUUCUUGUCAAUAGAGAAUUCUGCUGGAGUAAUGAAAUGAUAUGGAUUAGGAAAAUAUAAGUUGUUUUCCAUAAGGAUUCUAAUAGGGAGGCGACCUCUCCUUUCACAGGAACACGCUUUUUUGGAACUGAGUUCUAUUCUUAGUUUGAGCAAUAAGCAUCGUGACAGAGAGAAGAAGAGCUGCUGCAUUCAGGUUGAUCGUGAAUAGCCAUGGCUGCAUCCAAUGAAAGUUCUUCAGGUUAGUAUGCUUCAACCUUAUAUGAAUUGGUGUUUUGUAUUUUGUUCGGUUGUGAUUCGAGUAACUGGAUCUUGUUUGUGGUCUAGUGUUAACAUAUAGGACAUAAAAGUGAUCAAUAUUUGUUGCCAAAAGUGACCAUUUUAGUUGCUAGCUAUAAUUUUGUUAACAUUUGUCAUUACAAAUUACAAAACAUGAUAUAAGGGGUUAGAAUGAUCCUAAUUGAUCCAUACACGCCCCAUAAUAAUAUCCAAUUGAUUAAUAUAUAAUUAGAGAGAGAAGUGCAGAGGAUGAGAGAGAGAGAGAGAGAUCAUUACACACAAAACGAUCAGCAAUAAGGACAAGGCAGUCUUGUAUCAAGCAUAAAACACUAAGUGUGAAAUAUAAAACACCAGAAAAGUCCCAAAUAGCAUCUCUAUUCCCAUCAAUCUAUUUUCCAGGCUCCCACCAUCACUCUUUGCUUGAGCAACUGUACCACUGCUUGUAGAAUUCACUAUAAUAAUUAACAUAAAACCAAGUAAAUUAAACAUAUAUUACUAGAUAAAGAACUAUUAAAUUGUAAUUAAAUUAAUUACCAAUCAUAAUAUGCUAAAAUUCUAGGAGUAAAUUUGUUAGAAUACCGCUGGAUGUAGGGGCAGUAGUGUUGCUUCUAGCUUCAGUGUUGUUUUCAAAAUCCCGGAACAUCUUCGCGUCCGAAGAGUUUGAUGGCAAAUUCAAGAGAUCUGAAUCCAUCACCAACGUUGAAAAUGAUCAAACUGGUGAUCUAUAUAAUCAUGAACAUUUCUAGAGAAAUUAAACUAAUUAAUAUAUACUUCAGUUCAGUAUAUAUAUGUACUUACCAAUACAUGUUGAUAUGUUGACAGGUACAUGACAGGAACUAGGAAGGUUCAAAGCAAGAGUGGAAUUGAUCUUAAGGCCGAGUUUCGGAUCGUCGCGGUCCUUAAGUAGGAUACAGAGGCAUUUCUUGCUCUUCUGCACCACUUCUUUAAUUCCACUGCAACAAUCUAAGGUU
rnacentral:lncRNA from 1 species